AGGCAAGGAAUAAACCUAGUAACAACCAACAAGACCAAAGAAGAGUACACUUAAGUUGAAGACACAACACUUGAUCUGAAACAAGAAGUUUGUGCCUACUCAACAGCUUUGAAAGAGAACUUCCCAACACUGCUAGUAGUCUUUGUUUUCUUCAGUGCUGUACUGUGAGAUGCCCGGUGCAGCAGCAGUUGUAUUCUUUAUUAGUUUGGUAGAUCUUUUUCUCUCGCUCUUUUUUUUUUUUUAAUACUAGCAACUUUCAUCCUUUGAAACGUGUGCUGAAAAAGAAGAAUCAGCAAAUACUACUGAAAGUGCAAUAUUUGAUUAUCACUGCAACAUGAGCUUUGAUCCAAACCUUCUCCACAACAAUAGACACAAUGGGUACCCUGUAAAGGAUGAUGGAAA
rnacentral:lncRNA from 1 species